rnacentral:rRNA from 1 species
CCUACGGGAGGCAGCAGUGAGGAAUAUUGGUCAAUGGCCGAGAGGCUGAACCAGCCAAGUCGCGUGAGUGAAGACGGCCCUACGGGUUGUAAACCUCUUUUGUCGGGAAGAAAAGAGAGUCACGUGUGACUCAUUGAGAGUACCCGAAGAAAAAGCAUCGGCUAACUCCGUGCCAGCAGCCGCGGUAAUACGGAGGAUGCGAGCGUUAUCCGGUUGUAUUGGGUUUAAGGGGUGCGCAGGCGGAGGUGCAAGUCAGCGGUAAAAUUGCGGGGCGCAACCCCGUACUGCCGUUGAAACUGCAUCCCUUGAGUGCGCGAGAAGUAUGCGGAAUGCGUGGUGUAGCGGUGAAAUGCAUAGAUAUCACGCAGAACUCCGAUUGCGAAGGCAGCAUACCGGCGCGCAACUGACGCUCAUGCACGAAAGCGUGGGUAUCGAACAGGAUUAGAUACCCUUGUAGUC